rnacentral:rRNA from 1 species
CCUACGGGUGGCAGCAGUGAGGAAUAUUGGUCAAUGGCCGGAAGGCUGAACCAGCCAUGCCGCGUGAAGGUCAGUGCCCUAUGGGCGUUAAACUUCUUUUGUGCAGGAACAAUAAUGGUCACGUGUGGCCAGACGAGUGUACCGUACGAAUAAGCAUCGGCUAACUCCGUGCAAGCAGCCGCGGUAAUACGGGGGAUGCAAGCGUUAUCCGGUUUUAGUGGGUUUAAAGGGUGCAUAGGCUGUGAGGUAAGUCAGCGGUGAAAUGCCCCCGCUCAACGGGGUGAAGUGCCAUUGAUACUGCUUGGCUGGAAUGCGGAUGCCGUGGGAGGAAUGUGUGGUGUAGCGGUGAAAUGCAUAGAUAUCACACAGAACACCGAUUGCGAAGGCAUCUCACGAAUCCGCGAUUGACGCUGAUGCACGAAAGCGUGGGUAUCAAACAGGAUUAGAUACCCUUGUAGUC